GACUUUGCUUGGCAAUCUGCGCGUGUUGUGUGGGCUAGAGUGAAUGGAAGAAGGGAAUAUGAAAAUUGACUUUGGUUGGAGACUAUGGACUUGGCAAUUGGAGGCAACUUAAACGAAGGUAAGAAAUAGACUGGGAGUUUGAGGGCCAAUUUCUUUUUUCUGAUAUGUGAUGGGUCAACUUUUUGCUUGGCUUGGUUUUCUCUUUGAGAAUGAAGA
rnacentral:lncRNA from 1 species